rnacentral:rRNA from 1 species
AUUGAACGCUGGUGGCAGGCCUAACACAUGCAAGUCGAGCGAGCGGCGGACGGGUGAGUAUUGUCUGGGAAACUGCCUGAUGGAGGGGGAUAACUACUGGAAACGGUAGCUAAUACCGCAUACCAUCAGAUGUGCCCAGAUGGGAUUAGCUGGUGGGUGGGGUAACGGCUCACCUAGGCGACGAUACCUCGCUGGUCUGAGAGGAUGACCAGCCAAACUGGAACGGGGACACGGUCCAGACUCCUACGGGGGGCAGCAGUGGGGAAUAUUGCACAAUGGGCGCAAGCCUGAUGCAGACAUGCCGCGUAUGUGAAGAAGGCCUUCGGGUUGUAAAGCACUUUCAGCGGGGAGGCGUUACCCGCAGAAGAAGCACCGGCUAACUCCGUGCCAGCAGCCGCGGUAAUUC